AACGAACGCUGGCGGCAGGCUUAACACAUGCAAGUCGAACGCCCCGCAAGGGGAGUGGCAGACGGGUGAGUAACGCGUGGGAACGUACCUUUCAGUUCGGAAUAACUCAGGGAAACUUGUGCUAAUACCGGAUACGCCCGCAAGGGGAAAGAUUUAUCGCUGAAAGAUCGGCCCGCGUUGGAUUAGCUAGUUGGUGGGGUAAAGGCCUUACCAAGGCGACGAUCCAUAGCUGGUUUGAGAGGAUGAUCAGCCACACUGGGACUGAGACACGGCCCAGACUCCUACGGGAGGCAGCAGUGGGGAAUCUUAGACAAUGGGGGAAACCCUGAUCUAGCCAUGCCGCGUGAUCGAUGAAGGCCUUAGGGUUGUAAAGAUCUUUCAGAUGGGAAGAUAAUGACGGUACCAUCAGAAGAAGCCCGGCUAACUCCGUGCCAGCAGCCGCGGUAAAAGUACUCUAAU
rnacentral:rRNA from 1 species